rnacentral:rRNA from 1 species
AUGAGUUGUUUAAGUUGGAACUGCCGGGGGCUUGGGAACCCCGAGGCAGUUCGAGAGCUUCGCAAUGUGGUGAAGCAAGAAGGGCCCACACUGGUUUUUGUUAUGGAGACGAAAAUCAGAGGAAAACGUGUAAGGAUCUACACCUUGGGGUUUGCUGGCAGUUUCGCGGUUGACAGUGAUGGCCUCAGUGGAGGCAUCAGUUUGUUUUGGUCCAAUGAUGUGCAUGUGGAGCUAAAAAAUUACAGCAUCAACCAUAUCGAUGUGUUGGUGUGGGACUCGUCAGCGGACACACAAUGUUGGAGGUUUACAGGGUUUUAUGGCGCUCCGAGGGCAGCCGAUCACCACCAUAGCUAG